rnacentral:lncRNA from 1 species
AAUUCAGUUAAUAGUUUAGUUCAGUUAGUGCAGUUUACAGUACAGUUAAUAGUUCAGUUAGUGUAGUUUACAAUUCAGUUAAUAGUUCAGUUCAGUUCGUACUGUAAUUUAGUACAAUUCAGUAUAGUUCAGUUCAGUUCAGUUUGAUAAAACAAAAAACAGUUCAGUUCAGUUUGUCUGAACUGUUUUACAGUUCAGUUCAGUUUGUCUGAACUGUUUUAUAGUUCAGUUCAGUUUUUAGCAGUGCAGUACAGUUCAGUUCGAUUUGCCCACUCCUAGUAAUAAAUUUACCAAAGAUGUCACUCUUUCGUUGUUGGAUUUUCUUUUUUUUUUCUUUUUGUUUAAAAAUUUGGCACUGAACCACAGUAAAUAAUUAAAAUAACAAGUUGAAUUGCA